rnacentral:piRNA from 1 species
UCAUCAGUAUACCUAGGCCUAUAGAAGUCAUU